rnacentral:ncRNA from 1 species
GAACAACCAAUGACGGAGAAAAGUAGUUAAGAAUACACAUGGCCAGAGAGGAAAUGCCUGAGGCUGGAAGCAUUUCUCCAUGAUGACUUAACGAAAGACACUCCGUAGGUUUCCCUUUGAACGUGCAUGGCGCCAGUAAAAGGGAACGCGAGUCUCGCGUUAUCGGUAACAAGUGGAAGCUUUUUUGCUUCAAUUAGGGUGGCACCACGGGAACAGCGCUCUCGUCCCUAUC